AAGUCGUAACAAGGUUUCCGUAGGUGAACCUGCGGAAGGAUCAUUACAUUCAGUAGCCUAGCUACUUGUUUAUACCCUUGUUUUUUGCGUACCUAUUGUUUCCUCGGCGGGCUUGCCUGCCGGUUGGACAACACUAUAACCUUUUUAAAUCUUCAAUCAGCGUCUGAAUUAUACAUAAUAAUUACAACUUUCAACAACGGAUCUCUUGGUUCUG
rnacentral:misc_RNA from 2 species